UGCGGGUUUGUGUAAUGGUAGCACAAGUGACUCUGGAUCACUCUGUCAGGGUUCGAAUCCUUGACCCGCAGCCA
rnacentral:tRNA from 1 species